AAUCAAUUGAAAUAUCAAGCUUUCAUCUUUCAAUACAUUCUCUCCUUUCUAUUCACGAAUUUAUUGUCUUUAGUUUCAUUUACUUUCAAUUCGUAAAUUUCCAGCUUGUUACCACUUACCAUUUACAACUUCUUUUUCAAACUUUCUUUUUAUUUCCAGUAGCCACCCUACUUUAAUACACCACCAAAAUUCCAGCCUCAUACUUAAUUACGCCACCCAUCCUUUCCACCCAUUUUUACCUUAUCCGAUUAUGCCCAAUACCAUCAUGUCCCAAACCCUAGUUAACUAAAUCCAUUUUCAGCUUUAGGUCGAAGUUAGCCUCGUCAAAACCCGUGAGUUACGAACCCGAGCAAAUUAACUCCUAAAUUUCAGUACUUAUUAUUUCUCCGGAUUAAGAGUAUGAUUUUGUCAGCUCAUAAAGUUAGAUCAACACUAAGUCAAAAAAGACGUCGUUUGAGUUAGUGUGGUUAGACGUACAGUUGGAAUUCCGAAAGGAACAUUUCUAAUCGGUUUUCUGUGAACACAUUGGCGUGCCAAGUGGAGAUAGAUGUUUGGUUCUGUCAAGGGAAGUAGUAACCAGAUUUAAAUGUCCCACGCGGUUGAGGACAUUGGUUCGAGCUAUGCUCUUCUAGAACGCAAGGCUGUCAGAGUUCUAAAUCACGAACGUUUCGUGGUUGUUCGAUCGGUAUGGGUUAGUUAUUGGACGUUCCAUAACUAAUUUACACAAGGAAGAGUUGGUGUCCGAGGCGUCCUUGGUAGCUAUAACUAGCUUAUUGGAAAAGAGGAGUUCAUCUAAUUUCAAGGAUCGGUUCAAAGACGAGGAAAACCCGUGCCUAAAGCUGAGCUUAUUCUAAUUAAUUUUUCUUCAAAUUUAUUUAACUGCUUUUAUUAUUUCAUUUUCAACUUUUACUUUUUAUGCGUUUUAUUUGUUUAUUUCAGGUUCCAGGUUUUCGAUUUUAUCCUCCCCCCUAAUAUCUUGGGCACGACAACUGCCCCGACAUAAAUCUGGUCAAGAGAGCAACAAUUUGCAGUAAAUCCAGUAUCUGAGGGAUCGACCCUACUCCCUAUACUGCUUAAAUUGCAAAUUAGGCGUAGGUUUAUAUUGGUGGACUCGACACCCAUCAGAGUUACAUUCAAAUAUUUAAUUAACACUGAUCUCUUAUUUGAUAUUAGACCUCCACUGCCUACUUUUUUAUAUUUAAAAAAAUUGGGUAUGACUAUUGAACUUUCAUACUAUCAAGGUCAAUGGAUUUUCAGUUUGUUGGAAAUAUAGUAAC
rnacentral:lncRNA from 1 species